GUGGGGAAUAUUGCACAAUGGAGGAAACUCUGAUGCAGCGACGCCGCGUGAGUGAAGAAGGUCUUCGGAUCGUAAAACUCUGUCCUUGGUGAAGAUAAUGACGGUAGCCAAGGAGGAAGCCCCGGCUAACUACGUGCCAGCAGCCGCGGUAAUACGUAGGGGGCGAGCGUUGUCCGGAUUUACUGGGCGUAAAGGGUGAGUAGGCGGUAAUAUGUGUCAGAUGUAAAAGGCUAAGGCUUAACCAUAGUUAGCAUUUGAAACUGUAUUACUUGAGUGCAGGAGAGGUAAGUGGAAUUCCUAGUGUAGCGGUGAAAUGCGUAGAUAUUAGGAGGAACACCAGUGGCGAAGGCGACUUACUGGACUGUAACUGACGCUGAGUCACGAAAGCGUGGGUAGCAAACAGG
rnacentral:rRNA from 1 species